rnacentral:rRNA from 1 species
UACGAAGGGGGCUAGCGUUGUUCGGAUUUACUGGGCGUGAAGCGCACGUAGGCGGAUCUUUAAGUCAGAGGUGAAAUCCCAAGGCUCAACCUUGGAACUGCCUUUGAUACUGGGGAUCUCGAGUUCGGGAGAGGUGAGUGGAACUGCGAGUGUAGAGGUGAAAUUCGUAGAUAUUCGCAAGAACACCAGUGGCGAAGGCGGCUCACUGGCCCGAUACUGACGCUGAGGUGCGAAAGCGUGGGGAGCAAACAGG